GAGACUGUGGCUUUAAGAGCGCGCCCAGAGCCCGGGAUCCGGCCGGGCGGUCCUUCGCUGCUGCGCACCCCCGCGGAGCCGAGCUCAGCGCUGGCCGGACGGGGCUGCCUGCUGCCGGUGCCAGGAAAAGCUUUGCCUCUCCCAAGGAACUGGCAUGAUUUUUCUUUGUGGGUGAGUGGAUAGAACUGAUCAUAUUUCUCUUUUCGCUUUGGCUGCCAGGAAGCACAGAACCACAUUUGUGGCUUGACUUUAGUAACUAUGGGGCCCUGCAUCCUAAUUUUUUUUCAGUGUUAACCUUAUAUUUUUUAUUUUCUCUACUUUCAAGUUAAUGAUUUAUAACUCUGUUAAUUGGAUGUAUGCUGGAUUGGGGAUUAAAAUCCAUUUUAAGUGAUAUAUUUUAGAUAUACAAACAUUGAGGCUCAGACAAGCAAAAAGGACUUGCUUAAGACACAGAACUCAUUAGGACAAGCAUAGACUGCAAGCCAUACCUUUUAUUUCUAGGGCCCAGGGCUCUUUUUUUUUUUUUCUUCCUACACCCAUGGCAUGUUUAAAUUGGGUUGAAUUACAGCUGAAUUAGAGCUGCAGCUGCCAGCCUACACCACCACCACAGCCACACCAGAUCUGAGCCACAUCUGGGACCUCCCCUGCUGCUUGGGGCAGUGCUGGAUCCUUAACCCACUGAGCAAGGCUAGGUAUCGAACCUGAAUCCUCAUGGACACUAGUUGGAUUCUUAACCCUCUCAGCCACAGCAGGAACUCCCCCAGAGCUCUUGUACUCCUGUCCAUUCUGGAAGACUACCGACUACUGACUAAAACCCUGAAUAACCCAUAAUGUCUCAAUAUUCAGCAAAGCCUACCUUUGUGAUGGGGCAAUGAGUUGUGGCGCUGCCACCCAAAUUCCUGUUUCCUGGCUGGGUCAGCAGCACUGUACUCUCCUGUCUCCUGAGUUGCAGGGUUGUCAGCUGUGCCCCAUGGUCCUGAGAAUGUAGUAUGUCCAGGCUUAGUUGGUUUUAUCUGAAAUGAGACUACCAGCUCAGAAUGAAAUCAGCCUCUCAUGUCUUGAGUUCCCUUGUGUGUUUCUUGCCACAAAAGGAAGGCUUGAUGGCCAAAGGGCAGUUGGGUGCCCCUAAGGCUCAGACCGGGUCUUCUGGGUGUAAACAGUGGUUGAGUUUGGCUGGGCUGAAGAAAGUGGCUUUAUUCUAUCUGAUGUAAAAUAUGAGUUAUUGGAAAUAUUGACCAGCCUAAUGAUUCGUUUUCCCGUGGUGUUCUGGUUGGGAGUACCUGGGGCAAGAGAGCAUAGGCUUGGAACUUAGCCCACCUGAGUCAGGAAAAUUUUGAUUCCGAUUUUGAGAUAGAGAAGUGGAACCUCUGGCCGCAGGCUGAAGCUCAACCUUGGUUUUGUUUAAUUUUCCUGGGUGAUCAGCUAAUAAAACCUUUGAGAGAUAAAGAUAAGUGUAAUAGAGCCCCUGCCCCUAAGAGCAUAUCCUCAAAUAGGAGGGAUUACGGCAUAUGUGUCAAGCAGAGUCCAAGGUAGAAAGAGUUUAAAAGUCAUUGCAGAGAUACCAAAAGAGGAAAGGCAUUUUGGAGAUGGGGCUGGGAAGAAUGAGGAAGCUUUAAACCUGCAGAAACAUGCCAGGAGAAAAGAGUGUGUGCAAAGGUCCAGAGGUAUGAACAUGAGCGGUAAUGUAUGCGGAAGGCUCAGGAGGCUUGUGGGAUGUGGGCAGGAGGCAUUGCCUGGGCUGCCAUUGCUGCAGUGGAGAAUAGCUCUGUAGAUGUGGACUGUGGCUUAAUCUCACAGUAGACCUCGGGAGGGUGAAGACCUGUGAACCGUGGCUGACACAGAGGAUGAUCAGAGGCAUCCUCAAGAGUGAGACCUUCCCUAGGGCUUCUCAAACCUGAUUGCUUUAAGAAUUCCUGGCCCAGGAGUUCCUGCUGUGGUACAGCGGGUCAAGGAUCCGACUGCAGCAGCGCAGGUCACUGCAGAGGCUCUGGUUCACUCCCUGGCCUGGCUCCGUGGGUU
rnacentral:lncRNA from 1 species